rnacentral:lncRNA from 1 species
ACAAAUCAGUAUCAAUGACAAUGCUCCUUGAAUUCCUAUUAUAUGCAAGCUUCCAGAAACCUCCCCCCACUGCCUCAUCAACUAUGCCCCAUGGAGAUUUUACAGAACAUCAUUACUAAUGAAGGGGAUAUAAAUGAAGUCCUGAAUUUUCUGCAGAAAGCCAACUUUUCUAUAACUGUCAUAACCAUGCACCUUCAUGAAUGAAUGAACAGAUGGAUGGAUGGAUAAGAACAAAUAUCCCCUUUCGUUUUUCCAUCAUAUUCUCUGCUGAAAGGAAAGACAAAGCCGACAGAGUCCUCAGAUGGGGAAAUCAACAAUUAAGAGGUCAGAUAACACCAUCCUCAUUGAUCCAACUUAGGUUGGUAUGCACACAGAAAGACCUUACUACAUGUGCUUCAGUUUGAAAGCCACCCUGUUCUCUAUGGAUCGAUGGCCCCGACCAAGACCAAUGAGACCUUGCUGUGGAUGGAGUUGCCCGAUAAUAUGACUUACUCUUUAUGGCUCCGUUGCUGGAUGGUUGGAUAUAAUUCGGGGCUGUCUUUGAUUCCUUUUUAAACAAAAAAGAAAAAAUAGCUCCUGUCAAUGGAAGAAAGCAAACACUUAACCUGCCAUUUAACCAUUUCUAGAAACACUUUGACAGUAUGUCCACCAAGAUUGUAACAGAAAUAACUCCACCAAGCCUUGCCAUGCAAAUCCAAGCCCCUCUAACUUUAGAAAAUCAUGAAGCCAUUUGUUCAUACGGUAAGUUUCAUUUGGAAACCAAAGGAAGGGUACCACUCCCAAGUUUUGUUACUCAAGGAAAACUUUAUAUCUUGAAAUACAAAAGACAAAAAAAAAAGGCACAGCAAAUGGCUGGCCAAUGCCUGAUAGGGAGUUUUAUUAUCUAAUAGUCCAGCUGUUGCUCAAAGUAGGUCCCAUUUUCCCGUCAGCUCAAAGAAAUCAUAAUCUAAAAGACAUGCUUGAACUCGGUGUUAAGGUUUUACAUCCUGAUAGGAUAGGGGGCAUCGCAGUUGUCCCAUCCUGUUCCUAUGAAAAAAAGGGAUAGGGGCGGGUUUGGGACACUGAAAUCCAUCCAUGCAGCAAGAGAAAAAGAAAGAAGAAAGGGAAGGAAAGAUAAAAAAAGAAAAAAUGAAAGGAAAGAACAAGAAAAAUGAAAAAAAAGAGAAAGGAAUGGAGAAGAAAAAGAAAGAAAAAAAGAAAGGAAAGAAAUGAAGGAAGAGGAAAAGAAAGAAAAGAAGGAAGAAAAAAAAAGAAAGAAAAAGAGGAGAAAGAUAGCGGAUAUCUAUCAGGAUGUAUGACCGGAACUGCGGAACAAAAUAGUGGGAUAUCUCAUUUCAUGGAGAAACUAGGACAUCUUUGUACCACGGGAUAUAUAACCUUGCUCGGUGUCAUGGGAUCACAUUUCAUACCAUAGAAGAAUAAAGAAGAAGAAAGCUACUAACAGAGAUUUGACACUCUGGAGAUGUUUAAAUGAAAGCCUUUUGAACAUACACAAAGAAAGCAUCAAGUUCCUUAGAUGAUCAAUAAGCAAUAAGUUAAAGAUACACAUAAUCAUUUCAUGAAGUUCGGUUAUAGUGAACUGGCCAGUUUUAAGUAUUUUAAAAACAAAAUGGAUCUAUAAAAAUUGAGCCACAGAUUUUAAAACCAUACAUUUCUUUAAGAAUAACAAUCUCUCCUCUCAGAUCGUCCUUAAAACCUGCCUCCACUGCCCCUUCAACUCUCACAUGCCACAAGUGCAAUCCACACGCUCAAGUUCUGUCAGCCAUGCUUUCAUAUUUUUUGAAGGGUAAUGGAAGUCAACCAAGACUGUGGCAAUCAACAUCAAGAGCCAAUUUCCCUUUUAGGAUACUAAGGCCAACAUCAAACUUGCUUUGUUGUCACAACAAUUGAUGAAGAAGAUUUUUAACACCAAGAAGAAACUAUUGAUGGCCUCAAGGAAGAAUUGUGUGCUGAAAUGUUCUGUUCUAAUCAUCAAACAAAAAUAUGCAGGAACAAUGAGUGUGUAGAUACUUUUCAAAAGAUCCAAGAACUCGAGCAAUGGAUAGACACAUCGAAGGAUGUCACCGUGCCAUCAAUAUAUUUAUGAACCACAGAGUUUGCAAAUCUCACUAGCAAUUGGUACUUGCAGAGAAAAUAAUGUUGAGUGAGGGAGAUGAAAAUAGGGAUUUAUGCUAGAUUACAAUUAUGAUGGCUCUGUAUAAAUGAGAUAUCAACCAGAAAAUUAGUCAGUUAGGGGACGUAAAAUGUAACAUUAAUGGAACAACUAAAAAACAAUUGUAAUUUCACUGAAGCUCGACGGCCAAAAAACACCCAACGUAGCAAUCAUUGUUAUCUCAGACCUAUCAUAUGAAAGAAGGUACUGCUAGCCCAAGAAAUCAAUAGAAGGUGUAGGGUGGUCGGAUAUGAUAUGCGCCUUUUGGUAUGUUUACGGGUUUUUUGCACAUUAUAUCUGGGAAGAAUUUUAGAACAUCACAUGAGAUGGCUCAACAGAAUGAUGGCUAAAUGACAACAACCAUCAUGCAUUGUCCCAACUACAUGGAUUGGCUUCACAUCGCCUUAUUUUACAUGCAAGCUUUCCCAAAUUCUUCCUCAAAACCUUCAUCCAUGUUAAACAGUACAUGUUCCUCUCCUCUCAAGACCUUCAAAUGUAUGAGCUGAAUCCAUCAUCAUUCAUUACUUUGUAUACAGUUCCCUUAAAACACUCAUUUCUCACUCAAUUCUUCUUCAUUUUGCCACAGAUCCAUCUUAUCAUUUGCCACAGUCGUCCAACUCACUUGGACCCUCUUUACCUCCCAACAUUCUAAACAAAAAAACUUGGUCCUUAUUGUUCUAUAAAUUCUUCCUCAUGCUGGAAGGAUACCAUCAGUCACAUAACACCAUAAAAUCACCGCUCCAGUUAAUCCAAGCAACCUUAAUUUUAUCAGCAAAUGUCUCCAUAUAUCAUUAAUAAAUAGGGUCACUGUGUAGAGAUGAUAGUUCUUACUAGGAUGUAAAAAUAGGAAGGCCAGUUUUAGAAAUGGUUCAGUGAAGCUUACAAGUUGCACCAUUGAAAAAGAGGAGAGGCAAUAUUAUGACAAUAAGGCAUGUGCAAUGAAGGAGAAAAUAAAGCUCCUCCUAUAUACCGAAAUUUGAAGUUUCAUAUGAGGGUCAGAAGUAGGAGGCAACCUUAAAAAAUUAUUAACAAAAUUGUGAGGACUUGACACAGAUUGUACUGGCAGGAAACUGGCUUUGAUUUGGAAGAAUAUGAUAAAUAAUGAAAGCUGAACACAAGGAGUUGGGUGAAGGCUUCAUGUUUGUGGCAUGGUUGCUGAAGUAAGGUAAACACCAGCCUUCUCACAUUUUUUUCCAACAACUCAAAUCGACCAAGUGACCAUCAAAAUAGACCAUGACAGUUGUCUUUUUUUAACUAGAAAGAGAGCAUUUAGGAUAAAUUAAGCUCUUACAUUGGCCUCAAAAUACAAAUACAUAUUACACGUCAAGUUAAGGGAUAUUGCAUAGAUAUAAGCCUUGCAAAGCAAAUAAAAAAAAAAAUGAUGUGGAAGAUACACUAUAUACAAAUGCAUCUGGAAUCAUUAUAUAUGAAGAAGAUAUAUGAGAAUUAAACAUAUUCCCCAGAUGUGUUGACUAUGAUGCAAAAAAGAACCAAAAACAAUAACUAGUAGUGAAGAGAGUAAUGAACUAAAGAAUCUUGGUUUUGAAUAGCAUAGGGGGAAAAGCCAUUACCGGUCAAACAAAUCAAAGAAUAAGAGCAACUUUGACAAGCACUUAUGGAAGAAUAAGAACCAUAGGUGUUAUAUGUAGGUAGCAAAAUUCAAAAUGCCACCUUGAAUGUAGUGUUAGAUCCAAGGUUUUAAGUUCCAACAGGCCGAAGGGCAUCCUGUCCUAUUACUACAAGAAAAUAGGACUGGGAUGUGGUCAGGACUCC